CCUACGGGAGGCUGCAGUGAGGAAUAUUGGUCAAUGGGCGAGAGCCUGAACCAGCCAAGUCGCGUGAAGGAUGACGGCCCUACGGGUUGUAAACUUCUUUUGUCAGGGAGCAAUUGGGUCCACGCGUGGGCUUAGCGAGAGUACCUGAAGAAAAAGCCUCGGCUAACUCCGUGCCAGCAGCCGCGGUAAUACGGAGGAUGCGCGCGUUAUCCGGAUUUAUUGGGUGUAAAGGGUGCUUAGGCGGAAUAUCAAGUCAGCGGUAAAAAUUCGGGGCUCAACCCGGUCGUGCCGUUGAAACUGAUGGUCUUGAGUGGGCGAGAAGUAUGCGGAAUGCGUGGUGUAGCGGUGAAAUGUAUAGAUAUCACGCAGAACUCCGAUUGCGAAGGCAGCAUACCGGCGCCCAACUGACGCUGAAGCACGAAAGCGUGGGUAUCGAACAGGAUUAGAUACCCCUGUAGUC
rnacentral:rRNA from 1 species